rnacentral:misc_RNA from 1 species
GCACAAAUUCUUCACCUGUUCUGAUGUCAGUCGACAAUCAAAUUUGUUCUUCUGGUAGUAGUUGUCUUUGAUAACCUUUUUAAACUUCUCCUCUGGCAGAGGCAAGCAGUCCUCAUAAACAUUGAACCGCACCUGUGAAGGGAAUGCAGACUUGAAAGCCUUUGGUUCAAUAUUGUAACCCCCAGGUCCUGUAGCUUUGUAGAUUCCAUAUAGCAAUUUCAAGUCAAAAUCAAACAAAAAUAGCUUCAUCCCUUCACAGAUUUGUAGAACAACAUCUCUCUUGCUUACUGGCAAACCUAAAACCUUGUAACGGUAGCAAUCCUUCUUUGUCUUAGAGCUACACAUAAAUAUCAUUCCCAUAAGUUUAGCAUUUUUGUUUGAAGGUUCUUGCUCAUUUGUAUCCUUGACAAUCCCUUCAUUGAUGGCCUUCAAAGCUAACUUCUUCCUUGAGUAUUUUCUCCCCUUUUUCUUCUGAGAAAUAUCUUCAACUUUAUCUUCAUCCUUCACCUUUUCUUUUUCAUCUUCUUCUUGCACUAGUUCAUCAUCAACAUUUGCUUUAUUAUUCAACUCCCCCAUAGUUUGAAGGUUCUUCUUGUUUAAAGGUUUUUGAUCAUUUAUAUCCUUGACAAUCACUUCAUUCUUACCCUUCAAAGCCAUCUUCUUCUUUAAGGCCUUUUUUCCUUUCUUCCUCAACUUAUCUAUUUUCUUGGAGAUAGCUUCUAUUUGUUCUUCAUUCUUCACCUCUUCUUUUGUAUCUUCUACAUGUGCCACUUCUUCAUUAGGAUUCUCCUUGUUAUUCAACUUCUCCAUUGUAUGUUCUUUCUCCUUGUCAUGUCCUAUAACCACAUUUGACUCUUUUGUAAGCUCUUCCUUCCCUUUACCAACAGGAAUCAAAAUUGAUUCUUUGCCAUUCAUCUUCACUGGCUCCAAUAAAGUUAUCUCAGUUUCAACAUUGUCAAUAUUAUCAUUAUUCAUCUCUAUUUGCAUAUUUUCUUUCUCCUCUUCACCCCUAAUAACCAUAUCAAAUUCUUUUGAAAAUUGUUCCUUCUCUUCACCAUCAAGAAUCAAAAUUGAUUGUUCAUCGUUCACCUUCACUAUUUCUGAAGAAGCUCUAUCAAUUUCAAUGGCCCCACUCUUACCAUCAUUAUCCACUUCUUCCAUCUUAUGUUCUUUCUCCAUUUCACCUUCAAUA